rnacentral:rRNA from 1 species
UACGUAGGGGGCAAGCGUUGUCCGGAUUUAUUGGGCGUAAAGAGCGUGUAGGCGGUUUGGUAGGUCCGUUGUGAAAACUAGAGGCUUAACCUCUAGACGUCGAUGGAAACCGUCUGGCUAGAGUCCGGAAGAGGAGAAUGGAAUUCCUGGUGUAGCGGUGAAAUGCGCAGAUAUCAGGAAGAACACCCGUGGCUAAGGCGGUUCUCUAGUACGGUACUGACGCUGAGACGCGAAGCGUGGGAGCGAACAGGAUAGAAC